GUCACUAUGGGUUAAAGGUCAGCCCACCCACCGAGGUUAAACGCUGAAGUGGGAAGGUCGGGGGUUCGAGUCCCUCAGGUGACG